rnacentral:lncRNA from 1 species
CAACAGUCCUUCAUUCUUAAAGCUGAUUGAGGACGAUGAUCGUAUUUUUUGUUAUUGACAUGAAUUUUUCCUCCUAUAAAGCAUGAUAUUGGGUGCCAAAUAAUAUAUGAGUAGAGCAUAGAGCAACACAACGAGACGGAUAUCUCGAGGCUGAGAGAUUUAGGCAUUGAGAGAAAAUAAAGGUUUGAAAUUUGUGAUUUUCAGAUUAGGAAAGAUCGAUCAAAGCGAAUCAUAGAAAGAUCCAUCAAUGGAGAACCAAUUUCAUGAGGGAGAUCUGGUGUGGGCCAAAGUUAAUCACCAUCUUUGGUGGUUGGGCAUCAUUAACCAUGAACCGCCGUUGUCAACGGAUGGUAAGAAAGUUGAAUCUUUGGCCACAAUCACAAACUUUGAUGAUUUGCGUUUUGUCGAGAGAGAGGAUGUUGGACUCAUAACAAGAGAGUAAUGUUGAUUACACACAAAGCCAUACAUUCUUUGGUGAUUUGACCCACUUCAUUCAGUUAAAGAUACCAUUUUGCAGCUAAGACCACUCCUAUCUGAGAACAAGCUCUGGUGUCGGUAACUGCAAGCUGGUACCAAUAUAGUUGUUGAUGUUAUUUUGAAAUUACAACAUUUUUGCCUUCUUAAAUUUCUACAGAUACAUUUUGGGGGAUGAUAGCAAUGGGCUGGGAGUAAAUUUUAGUCUUAAAAGUAAAUUAUAAUUGUUGU